rnacentral:rRNA from 1 species
GAACCAGUACCGUGAGGGAAAGGCGAAAAGAACCCCGGCGAGGGGAGUGAAAAAGAACCUGAAACCGUGUACGUACAAGCAGUGGGAGCCCCACCACUAAGCCAGUGGUGAACUCCACAUACGCAUCCUUUGCUGAGGAUACGGUUAACGGAGCGAAAGCGACGUUCAACCGCAAAAGAAGCAGAGGGGGCUUAGUGGUGGGGUGACUGCGUACCUUUUGUAUAAUGGGUCAGCGACUUAUAUUCUGUAGCAAGGUUAACCGUAUAGGGGAGCCGGAGGGAAACCGAGUCUUAAUUGGGCGUUAAGUUGCAGGGUAUAGACCCGAAACCCGGUGAUCUAGCCAUGGGCAGGUUGAAGGUUGGGUAACACUAACU